AGUGAACGCUGGCGGUAGGCCUAACACAUGCAAGUCGAACGGCAUUACAGUAAGAGCUUGCUCUUACGGGUGGCGAGUGGCGGACGGGUGAGGAAUACAUCGGAAUCUACUUUUUCGUGGGGGAUAACGUAGGGAAACUUACGCUAAUACCGCAUACGACCUACGGGUGAAAGCAGGGGAUCUUCGGACCUUGCGCGAUUGAAUGAGCCGAUGUCGGAUUAGCUAGUUGGCGGGGUAAAGGCCCACCAAGGCGACGAUCCGUAGCUGGUCUGAGAGGAUGAUCAGCCACACUGGAACUGAGACACGGUCCAGACUCCUACGGGAGGCAGCAGUGGGGAAUAUUGGACAAUGGGCGCAAGCCUGAUCCAGCCAUACCGCGUGGGUGAAGAAGGCCUUCGGGUUGUAAAGCCCUUUUGUUGGGAAAGAAAAGCAGCAGGUUAAUACCCCGCUGUUCUGACGGUACCCAAAGAAUAAGCACCGGCUAACUUCGUG
rnacentral:rRNA from 1 species